rnacentral:rRNA from 1 species
GAUGAACGCUGGCGGCGUGCCUAAUACAUGCAAGUCGAGCGAAUGGAUUAAGAGCUUGCUCUUAUGAAGUUAGCGGCGGACGGGUGAGUAACACGUGGGUAACCUGCCCAUAAGACUGGGAUAACUCCGGGAAACCGGGGCUAAUACCGGAUAACAUUUUGAACCGCAUGGUUGGAAAUUGAAAGGCGGCUUCGGCUGUCACUUAUGGAUGGACCCGCGUCGCAUUAGCUAGUUGGUGAGGUAACGGCUCACCAAGGCAACGAUGCGUAGCCGACCUGAGAGGGUGAUCGGCCACACUGGGACUGAGACACGGCCCAGACUCCUACGGGAGGCAGCAGUAGGGAAUCUUCCGCAAUGGACGAAAGUCUGACGGAGCAACGCCGCGUGAGUGAUGAAGGCUUUCGGGUCGUAAAACUCUGUUGUUAGGGAAGAACAAGUGCUAGUUGAAUAAGCUGGCACCUUGACGGUACCUAACCAGAAAGCCACGGCUAACUACGUGCCAGCAGCCGCCUAA